rnacentral:rRNA from 1 species
UACGUAGGGUGCAGGCGUUAAUCGGAAUUACUGGGCGUAAAGCGUGCGCAGGCGGUCUGCUAAGUGAGGUGUGAAGUCCCCGGGCUUAACCUGGGAACUGCGCUUCUAACUGGCAGGCUUGAGUGUGGCAGAGGGGGGUGGAAUUCCACGUGUAGCAGUGAAAUGCGUAGAGAUCCGGAAGAACACCUGAGGCGAAGGCGGCUUGCUGGGCAUGAUCUGACGCUGAGGCGCGAAAGCGUGGGGAGCAAACAGG